GUGGGGAAUAUUGGACAAUGGGCGCAAGCCUGAUCCAGCCAUGCCGCGUGAGUGAUGAAGGCCCUAGGGUUGUAAAGCUCUUUCACCGGUGAAGAUAAUGACGGUAACCGGAGAAGAAGCCCCGGCUAACUUCGUGCCAGCAGCCGCGGUAAUACGAAGGGGGCUCGCGUUGUUCGGAAUUACUGGGCGUAAAGCGCACGUAGGCGGGUAUUUAAGUCAGGGGUGAAAUCCCGGAGCUCAACUCCGGAACUGCCUUUGAUACUGGGUACCUAGAGUAUGGAAGAGGGAAGUGGAAUUCCGAGUGUAGAGGUGAAAUUCGUAGAUAUUCGGAGGAACACCAGUGGCGAAGGCGGCUUACUGGUCCAUUACUGACGCUGAGGUGCGAAAGCGUGGGGAGCAAACAGGAUUAGAAACCCUUGUAGUCC
rnacentral:rRNA from 1 species